rnacentral:misc_RNA from 1 species
UUUUUUUUCUGGUGUGGGGUUUGGGUUUUUGAGCUCUGGGAAGAGGGAGAAUGGAAAAAGAUGAUGGUAUGCUGCUUCUUUCAACAGUAGGACCGCCAAUUAAGCGGCGAGCAGGGUUGAGAAGGAAGCAGGCAGGCAGAGGAUCAUACAGAGGAAGUUAGGUAUUGGGAUAAGGGAAGAAAAUUGGGGAUUGUUAGGGUUAUUUGA